AUGCGUGCGUUAGUUGCGGGUCUAAACCUCUCUGCUGACAGAGAUUCGGUUUAUUGGGGGCUCAAUAAGAAUGCUAAGUAUACUACUAAAUCUAUGUACAAGUGGCUGGACAAGCCUAUUAGUGGAUGCAACUAUAGAUGGAUCUGGGAAACAAAAAUUGCUCUUAAAAUCCAGGUAUUCUUGUGGCAAAUGGCCCAGGAUGCAGUGUUCACCAGAUCCGUGAUGAAAAGAAAAAAUGGCCUCGAAACCCCGUGUGUUCCUUUUGUGGUAAGCUGGAAACAGGUUCUCAUUUGUUCUUCUCCUGCCCUGUGGCACGAGUUGCCUGGAGAUCUAUUGGUGUGGUCCUGA
rnacentral:rRNA from 1 species